GAAGAGGGAAACAACCCAGACCGCCAGCUAAGGUCCCAAAGUCAUGGUUAAGUGGGAAACGAUGUGGGAAGGCACAGACAGCCAGGAUGUUGGCUUAGAAGCAGCCAUCAUUUAAAGAAAGCGUAAUAGCUCACUGGUCGAGUCGGCCUGCGCGGAAGAUGUAACGGGGCUAAACCAUGCACCGAAGCUGCGGCAGCGACACUAUGUGUUGUUGGGUAGGGGAGCGUUCUGUAAGCCUGCGAAGGUGACCUGUGAGGGUUGCUGGAGGUAUCAGAAGUGCGAAUGCUGACAUAAGUAACGAUAAAGCGGGUGAAAAGCCCGCUCGCCGGAAGACCAAGGGUUCCUGUCCAACGUUAAUCGGGGCAGGGUGAGUCGACCCCUAAGGCGAGGCCGAAAGGCGUAGUCGAUGGGAAACAGGUUAAUAUUCCUGUACUUGGUGUUACUGCGAAGGGGGGACGGAGAAGGCUAUGUUAGCCGGGCGACGGUUGUCCCGGUUUAAGCAUGUAGGCUGGUUGUCCAGGCAAAUCCGGAUAAUCAAGGCUGAGGUGUGAUGACGAGGCACUACGGUGCUGAAGUAACAAAUGCCCUGCUUCCAGGAAAAG
rnacentral:rRNA from 1 species